rnacentral:rRNA from 1 species
UACGAGGGGGGCGAGCGUUGUUCGGAAUUAUUGGGCGUAAAGGGCGCGUAGGCGGUGCGGUAAGUCACCUGUGAAACCUCUGGGCUCAACUCAGAGCCUGCAGGCGAAACUGCCGUGCUGGAGUGUGGGAGAGGUGCGUGGAAUUCCCGGUGUAGCGGUGAAAUGCGUUAGAUAUCGGGGAGGAACACCUGUGGCGAAAGCGGCGCACUGGACCACAACUGACGCUGAGGCGCGAAAGCUAGGGGAGCAAACAGG